UGGUGGAGUGAUUUGUCUGGUUAAUUCCGAUAACGAACGAGACUCUAGCCUACUAAAUAGUUCGGGGACCCCCACAAAGGGGCCCCGCUUCAACUUCUUAGAGGGACAGGUGGCGUUUAGCCACACGAGAUUGAGCAAUAACA
rnacentral:rRNA from 1 species